AUGUAAACAGAAGGCUUGUAUUAUUCACACUUAAAAAUAAUCCAUAGACCAGGAGAUCAUGAAAAAUUAUUUAAAGUGAGAGACAGACCUAAUUGCAGAGGAAGAAAAUAAUUUUCCACAGGGUCUGUGUUUCUUCUCUUGCAGAAAAACACAUCAGUUUCCUUGGCAAAUUCACAGCUCAGCUUUGUCCCACUCUCAGCAUUCAUGCACGCUCCUAAUGGAUUUACAAUUGCAAAUCAGCCCUGUACCGGAGCGGGGGCUAUUUUAGACUGUGUUUAUUAUGUCUCUGGUGUGCCUGCACACACGUGUGAUGAUCACUGUUUCUUCUCCCAGAACAAUUAGCAGUGGGCUGGCCUCCCAUUGUCGGUAUUAGUGUAGGAUCUCUGAUGUGGAGAAGGAAAUGGGCUCUCUUCUCACUCUCUGCUCACAGUAUCCCUUGUCUCCACGGCGAGGAAGCAGCUUUCCCUCCUGGGAAUACACAAGGUGCAGUGCUCAUUUACGUCUGUCUCCACUCAGGACGUUUAAGGAAAUCUGACACAUGCUUGCACCGUGCACCAGCUGCUCUGAAGAGGCUUCCUCCCUGACUCCUUCUCUCCAGACGACCCUCCACAAGAAUAUCAGCUUACACAAGCUUCCCUGAGGUUUGAGGAUGUUACUUUCUCUGCCCCCUCUGCACAGAUUAAUAGUCUUAAAAAAAAAAAAAAAAGAGAGAGAGAGAGAGAGAAGCAGUGAGUCAGGGAAAAUGACUGAACCAAAAGUCAGACAACUCAUUAUCGCAAAACUACAGCCAUGUGUCCCAAAGCUGAUGAUGAUCUAGCAUGAAGGAGAGCCAGUGCUUAUAAAGGCCCUACUAAGUGUCAGGUGCUUUGAAACCCUUCCUGUUUCUUACCUGUCAGCACAAAACAACCUCAUAAGGAUCUAGGACAGUCUGUUCUGCUAUCAAGGAUAUUCCUGCAGCAGGAAUUUGCUCCCAUCCUAUAAGUAAAUAGGGAAUAGUGUCUGCAUCAUGCAGAAGAAGGGUCUGGUUCAUAUGAGAUUUUUUUUCCCCCUCUGUAUAUUAAAUCUCACACCACUAAGCAGAUCAGAACAAGCUCGCAAAGAAAACAGACCUGCAUCAUAGAUCUCCGCUCUCCUCGCUGUUCUUUGUCUUGGCUCGAUUUCUCUACCCUCCUUUCUUGAAAGUGCUUAUUUUGUGGUUCCUCCAGUCUGGAUAUGCUCUGCCCUCAACCCUCCUCUCUACACCCCCUUGUCCAUCAGGAACCUUUACCUUCUAGUACAGGUAAAGAGCUAUGAUUUUGAUGACAUGUUUCUACCUAUUAGAAUUUAGCACACCU
rnacentral:lncRNA from 12 species